UACGGAGGGGGCUAGCGUUGUUCGGAAUUACUGGGCGUAAAGCGCACGUAGGCGGCUUUGUAAGUUAGAGGUGAAAGCCCGGGGCUCAACCCCGGAAUAGCCUUUAAGACUGCAUCGCUUGAACGUCGGAGAGGUGAGUGGAAUUCCGAGUGUAGAGGUGAAAUUCGUAGAUAUUCGGAAGAACACCAGUGGCGAAGGCGGCUCACCGGACGACUGUUGACGCUGAGGUGCGAAAGCGUGGGGAGCAAACAGG
rnacentral:rRNA from 1 species